rnacentral:rRNA from 1 species
CCUACGGGAGGCAGCAGUGGGGAAUUUUGGGCAAUGGGCGCAAGCCUGAUCCAGCAAUGCCGCGUGAGUGAAGAAGGCCUUCGGGUUGUAAAGCUCUUUUGUCAGGGAAGAAACGGUGGAGGCUAAUAUCCUUUGCUAAUGACGGUACCUGAAGAAUAAGCACCGGCUAACUACGUGCCAGCAGCCGCGGUAAUACGUAGGGUGCAAGCGUUAAUCGGAAUUACUGGGCGUAAAGCGUGCGCAGGCGGUUUUGUAAGUUUGUCGUGAAAUCCCCGGGCUCAACCUGGGAAUGGCGAUGAAGACUGCAAGGCUAGAAUCUGGCAGAGGGGGGUAGAAUUCCACGUGUAGCAGUGAAAUGCGUAGAGAUGUGGAGGAACACCGAUGGCGAAGGCAGCCCCCUGGGUCAAGAUUGACGCUCAUGCACGAAAGCGUGGGGAGCAAACAGGAUUAGAUACCCUGGUAGUCCACGCCCUAAACGAUGUCUACUAGUUGUCGGGUUUUAAUUAACUUGGUAACGCAGCUAACGCGUGAAGUAGACCGCCUGGGGAGUACGGUCGCAAGNUUAAAACUCAAAGGAUUGACGGNNGAGAGNGCGAGACGACGACGAGGGAGGAGG